GUCUGAAGUCAGCUGCAAAUCUUCCAAUGACUUGGCCCUUGAAACAAUAAGGAAAAUGAGCUUUACUCAUCCUAGCUGUUGUUUGUAAGUAUAACAGGUUGAUGACAGGGCUUUCAGCAGAUUGGACAGAUUGGGAAGCAGCAGUGAAAAGACAGUUUUCAUUCAGAGUUACGAGCACCAUUUAUAGUU